AUUUUAGUACCAUUGCCACGAGUUACUUGUUUUUAUAGUUCUUCAGAUCAAGGGAGACUGUCUCUAUUCAUUUCUCUGCCCAAGGAAAAACUUAUUUCAGCUUGACUAUUGUAUAUAUUCUAAACGUGGUUUUUCUUGCCUCCACUUUGAUUUGUACCUAGGAUGGGUUGGGGAAAAACUUACAUAAGGCGUUUGAGAAUAUUUGCAGCGGCUAUGAUGAUCUAUCUGGAUUAUAAGGCUAUAGAGCAAAUAGAUAAAUGGACCAUCAACUCCAACAGAGAUGCACUGUGGGAUAAGGCUCAUGAACGCAAUGCGAAGCGUCUUGCCAACUUGGUCAUAGAACUGGAAGGUUUUUGGGUAAAACUUGGACAGUACUUAUCCACACGUGCUGAUGU
rnacentral:misc_RNA from 1 species